rnacentral:rRNA from 1 species
UAUUUUUUGCAUGGAAUAAUAGAAUAUGAUCUCGGUUCUAUUUUGUUGGUUUUCGGACUCCGAGGUAAUGAUUAAUAGGGAUAACUGGGGGCAUUCGUAUUGCGACGUUAGAGGUGAAAUUCUUGGAUCGUCGCAAGACGGACAUCAGCGAAAGCAUUUGCCAAAGGUGUUUUCAUCAAUCAAGAACGAAAGUUAGAGGUUCGAAGGCGAUUAGAUACCGCCCUAGUUCUAACCAUAAAUGUUGCCACCUGGCGAUCAGCCGACGUUACUUCCGUGGGUCGG